GUCUACGACCAUUCCACCCUGAACAAGCCUGAUAUCUGAUCUCGGAAGCUAAGCAGCGUCAGGCCUGGUUAGUACUUGGAUGAGAGACCACCUAGGAAGACCAGGUGCUGUAGGAA
rnacentral:rRNA from 1 species